GGCUCAUUAUAUAAGUUAUCGUUUAUUUGAUAGUACCUUACUACUUGGAUAACCGUGGUAAUUCUAGAGCUAAUACAUGCUAAAAAUCCCGACUUCGGAAGGGAUGUAUUUAUUAGAUUAAAAACCAAUGCCCUCUGGGCUCUCUGGUGAUUCAUGAUAACUUCUCGAAUCGCAUGGCCUUGCGCCGGCGAUGGUUCAUUCAAAUUUCUUCCCUAUCAACUUUCGAUGUUUGGGUAGUGGCCAAACAUGGUUGCAACGGGUAACGGAGGGUUAGGGCUCGACCCCGGAGAAGGAGCCUGAGAAACGGCUACUACAUCCAAGGAAGGCAGCAGGCGCGCAAAUUACCCAAUCCCGAUUCGGGGAGGUAGUGACAAUAAAUACUGAUACAGGGCUCUUUUGGGUCUUGUAAUUGGAAUGAGUACAAUUUAAAUCCCUUAACGAGGAACAAUUGGAGGGCAAGUCUGGUGCCAGCAGCCGCGGUAAUUCCAGCUCCAAUAGCGUAUAUUAAAGUUGUUGUGGUUAAAAAGCUCGUAGUUGAACCUUGGGCCUGGUUGGCCGGUCCGCCUCACCGCGUGUACUGGUCCGGCCGGGCCUUUCCCUCUGUGGAACC
rnacentral:rRNA from 2 species